rnacentral:lncRNA from 1 species
GGAUUUAAGGCAAGUAUUCCUAAAUCCUUCCUCAUAUAUAUAUUGCAUGUUCUGAUUAUUCUGUCAAGAUUAUGAUAUUGUUUAUGCUGAGACCCUUCUCAAACAAACUCUUACUUCUGAGAAUGAAUCCCAUGAUUGUUUUCUUCUUCCAAGUUUUGAAAAGCUAAACACCUAAUUACUCUCAAUUUCUAUUUUGAUCCAUUCUUUCCAAUCCUCAAGAUUUUAUAAAUAUCAGCUUUACAAAUUAAUUCGAAGUUCAAACGGUCAUUGAAGCAUGGGUUGCUCAAUGAUAGUUAGAACCUAGAAUGAGUUGGGAUCUUCUUGAUUAUUCAACCCGCCAUUGUCAUGCUGGUUUAGCAGGCUAAAUUCAGUUGCUUAGCCGAUAAUGGAGGAUACUGAAUAGUUAGGAAUUUCCUGAACUAUGAUUUAUCAAAAGACAGACUGUGGUUUAUGAAAUGUUGAUUCCCAAAAGUUGAUUUGAAAUAUUUCUGUUGCUGAUAAUGAUUAUGAUUCUGUUCUGUUGAUUCAGUUGUCUGUUGAUUUAAAUUGUUAGAAUUGGAUUAGUUUUUAUAAAAUAUGUGGACCAGAUUCGUGGUCAGACC